AAUGAACGUUGGCGGCGUGGAUUAGGCAUGCAAGUCGAGCGAGAACCCGCAAGGGGGACAGCGGCGAACGGGGUAGGACAACGUAGGUAACGUACCCUCGGGGCGAGGACAGCCACGGGAAACUGUGGGUAAUACUCGAUAAUGUUCCCAAUCAUGAUCGAAGGGGAACCAAUGGGUGUGAUUCCACCCGGGGAGCGGCUUACGCAGUAUCAGCUUGUUGGUGAGGUAACGGCUCACCAAGGCGANGACGCUUAGGGGAUGUGAGAGCAUGAUCCCCACCACUGGCACUGAGACACUGGCCAGACACCUACGGGUGGCUGCAGUCGAGAAUCUUCGGCAAUGGACGCAAGUCUGACCGAGCGACGCCGCGUGCGGGAUGAAGGUCUUCGGAUUGUAAACCGCUGUCAGAGGGGAUGAAGUAUACGGGGAGUUCUCUCCUGUAUUUGACAGAGCCUCAGGAGGAAAGCACGGGCUAAGUUCGUGCCAGCCGCCGCU
rnacentral:rRNA from 1 species